AUUGAACGCUGGCGGCAGGCCUAACACAUGCAAGUCGAACGGUAACAGGAAGCAGCUUGCUGCUUCGCUGACGAGUGGCGGACGGGUGAGUAAUGUCUGGGAAACUGCCUGAUGGAGGGGGAUAACUACUGGAAACGGUAGCUAAUACCGCAUCACGUCGCAAGACCAAAGAGGGGGACCUUCGGGCCUCUUGCCCUUGGAGGUGCCCAGAGGGGAUUAGCUAGUAGGUGGGGUAACGGCUCACCUAGGCGACGAUCCCUAGCUGGUCUGAGAGGAUGACCAGCCACACUGGAACUGAGACACGGUCCAGACUCCUACGGGAGGCAGCAGUGGGGAAUAUUGCACAAUGGGCGCAAGCCUGAUGCAGCCAUGCCGCGUGUAUGAAGAAGGCCUUCGGGUUGUAAAGUACUUUCAGCGGGGAGGAAGGUGUUGAGGUUAAUAACCUCAGCAAUUGACGUUACCCGCAGAAGAAGCACCGGCUAACUCCGUGCCAGCAGCCGCAGUAAUAC
rnacentral:rRNA from 1 species